AGCUUGAGCCAAAAUGGCUACGGCAUCUAAGGAAGGCAGCAGGCGCGCAAAUUACCCAAUCCU
rnacentral:rRNA from 14 species